UACGGAGGGAGCUAGCGUUGUUCGGAAUUACUGGGCGUAAAGCGCACGUAGGCGGCGAUUCAAGUCAGAGGUGAAAGCCCGGGGCUCAACCCCGGAACUGCCUUUGAAACUAGAUUGCUAGAAUCCUGGAGAGGUGAGUGGAAUUCCGAGUGUAGAGGUGAAAUUCGUAGAUAUUCGGAAGAACACCAGUGGCGAAGGCGACUCACUGGACAGGUAUUGACGCUGAGGAGCGAAAGCGUGGGGAGCAAACAGGG
rnacentral:rRNA from 1 species